GAUUCCGUAGGGGAACCUGCGGAGGGAUCAUUACCGAGUUUACAACUCCCAAACCCAAUGUGAACGUUACCAAUCUGUUGCCUCGGCGGGAUUCUCUGCCCCGGGCGCGUCGCAGCCCCGGAUCCCAUGGCGCCCGCCGGAGGACCAACUCAAACUCUUUUUUCUCUCCGUCGCGGCCUACGUCGCGGCUCUGUUUUAUUUUUGCUCUGAGCCUUUCUCGGCGACCCUAGCGGGCGUCUCGAAAAUGAAUCAAAACUUUCAACAACGGAUCUCUUGGUUCUGGCAUCGAUGAAGAACGCAGCGAAAUGCGAUAAGUAAUGUGAAUUGCAGAAUUCAGUGAAUCAUCGAAUCUUUGAACGCACAUUGCGCCCGCCAGUAUUCUGGCGGGCAUGCCUGUCCGAGCGUCAUUUCAACCCUCGAACCCCUCCGGGGGGUCGGCGUUGGGGAUCGGCCCCUCACCGGGCCGCCCCCGAAAUACAGUGGCGGUCUCGCCGCAGCCUCUCCUGCGCAGUAGUUUGCACACUCGCACCGGGAGCGCGGCGCGGCCACAGCCGUAAAACACCCCAAACUCUGAAAUGUUGACCUCGGAUCAGGUAGGAAUACCCGCUGAACUUAAGCAUAUCAAUAAGCGGGGAGGAA
rnacentral:rRNA from 1 species